rnacentral:rRNA from 1 species
UACGUAGGGUCCAAGCGUUAUCCGGAGUUACUGGGCGUAAAGCGUGCGCAGGCGGCUCGUUAAGUGAGGUGUGAAAUUUUGCGGCUCACCGUAUAAAUUGCAUCUCAUACUGGCGGCUAGAGUAUGGCAGAGGCAAGUGGAAUUGGCAGUGUAGCAGUGAAAUGCGUAGAUAUUGCCAGGAACACCAAUGGCGAAGGCAGCUUGCUGGGCCACUACUGACGCUCAGGCACGAAAGCGUGGGGAGCGAACAGGAUAGAUAC